UUGGAGGGCAAGUCUGGUGCCAGCAGCCGCGGUAAUUCCAGCUCCAAUAGCGUAUAUUAAAGUUGUUGCAGUUAAAAAGCUCGUAGUUGAAUUUCGGGAUUCGUCGGUUGGUCGGGCUUCACUGUCCGCACUGACCCGACGGAUUCCUACCUUCUGAAUAACCAGCAUGCUAUUAAGUUAGUGCGUUGGGGAAGCAGAGCUAUUACCUUGAAAAAAUUAGAGUGCUUAAAGCAGGCUUGUGCUUGAAUAGAUUAGCAUGGAAUAAUAAAAUAGGACGGCAUGGUUCUAUUUUGUUGGUUUCUAGGAUCACCGUAAUGAUUAAUAGGGAUAGUUGGGGGCAUUAGUAUUCAAUUGUCAGAGGUGAAAUUCUUGGAUUUAUUGAAGACUAACUUCUGCGAAAGCAUUUGCCAAGGAUGUUUUCAUUAAUCAAGAACGAAAGUUAGGGGAUCGAAGACGAUCAGAUACCGUCGUAGUCUUAACCAUAAACUAUGCCGACUAGGGAUCGGACGAUGUUAAUUUUUUAAUGACUCGUUCGGCGCCUUACGGGAAAC
rnacentral:rRNA from 1 species